UACGGAAGGCAGCAGGGGGGAAUAUUGCACAAUGGGCGCAAGCCUGAUGCAGCCAUGCCGCGUGUAUGAAGAAGGCCUUCGGGUUGUAAAGUACUUUCAGUCGUGAGGAAGGUGUUAAGGUUAAUAACCUUAGCAAUUGACGUUAGCGACAGAAGAAGCACCGGCUAACUCCGUGCCAGCAGCCGCGGUAAUACGGAGGAUGCGAGCGUUAAUCGGAAUUACUGGGCGUAAAGGGCACGCAGGCGGUUAAUUAAGUUGGAUGUGAAAUCCCCGGGCUUAACCUGGGAAUGGCAUUCAAGACUGGUUAGCUAGAGUCUUGUAGAGGGGGUAGAAUUCCAUGUGUAGCGGUGAAAUGCGUAGAGAUGUGGAGGAAUACCGGUGGCGAAGGCGGCCCCUGGACAAAGACUGACGCUCAUGUGCGAAAGCGUGGGGAGCAAACAGGGAUUAGAUACC
rnacentral:rRNA from 1 species